rnacentral:rRNA from 1 species
AUGUUUCCGUUCAAGUUUAAGAGGAAGCAAUUUCCUAUAAGGCUUAGCUUUGCUAUGACCAUUAACAAGGCUCAAGGGCAGACAAUCCCGAUUGUUGGUGUCUACCUACCCAAUCCCGUGUUCUCUCAUGGUCAACUCUAUGUUGCUUUGUCUCGAGCCACCGCAAAGAGAAACAUAAAGAUACUCAUUCAGAAGGAGAAGCCGAAGGAGAAGUCCAACAAGCAAAAGGACAAUCCAAAGAAGCGAAAAAGACCGACCGUGUCAUUACUAACCUCGAUGAAGAACAUCGUCUACAAGGAAGUCCUUACAGGCUGA